UACAGAGGGUGCAAGCGUUUAAUCGGAAUUACUGGGCGUAAAGCGCGCGUAGGUGGUUCGUCAAGUUGGAUGUGAAAUCCCCCGGGCUCAACCUGGGAACUGCAUUCAAAACUGACGGAGCUAGAGUAUGGUAGAGGGUGGUGGAAUUUCCUGUGUAGCGGUGAAAUGCGUAGAUAUAGGAAGGAACACCAGUGGCGAAGGCGACCACCUGGACUGAUACUGACACUGAGGUGCGAAAGCGUGGGGAGCAAACAGG
rnacentral:rRNA from 1 species